CCUACGGGUGGCUGCAGUGGGGAAUAUUGGACAAUGGGGGGAACCCUGAUCCAGCCAUGCCGCGUGUGUGAAGAAGGCCCUCGGGUUGUAAAGCACUUUCAGUGAGGAAGAACACCUGGUGGUUAAUACCCAUCAGGAAAGACAUCACUCACAGAAGAAGCACCGGCUAACUCCGUGCCAGCAGCCGCGGUAAUACGGAGGGUGCGAGCGUUAAUCGGAAUUACUGGGCGUAAAGCGCGCGUAGGUGGCUUGAUAAGCCGGUUGUGAAAGCCCCGGGCUCAACCUGGGAACGGCAUCCGGAACUGUCAAGCUAGAGUGCAGGAGAGGAAGGUAGAAUUCCCGGUGUAGCGGUGAAAUGCGUAGAGAUCGGGAGGAAUACCAGUGGCGAAGGCGGCCUUCUGGACUGACACUGACACUGAGGUGCGAAAGCGUGGGUAGCAAACAGGAUUAGAUACCCUAGUAGUC
rnacentral:rRNA from 1 species